CCUACGGGUGGCAGCAGUGGGGAAUAUUGCACAAUGGGGGAAACCCUGAUGCAGCGACGCCGCGUGAGUGAAGAAGUAAUUCGUUACGUAAAGCUCUAUCAGCAGGGAAGAAAUACUGACCUUACGGUCAGCAGACGGUACCUGAGUAAGAAGCCCCGGCUAACUACGUGCCAGCAGCCGCGGUAAUACGUAGGGGGCAAGCGUUAUCCGGAUUUACUGGGUGUAAAGGGAGCGUAGACGGUGCGCCAAGUCUGGAGUGAAAUGCCGCAGCUUAACUGCGGAACUGCUUUGGAAACUGGCGAACUAGAGUGCGGGAGGGGUAAGCGGAAGUCCUAGUGUAGCGGUGAAAUGCGUAGAUAUUAGGAGGAACACCGGUGGCGAAGGCGGCUUACUGGACCGUAACUGACGUUGAGGCUCGAAAGCGUGGGGAGCAAACAGGAGUAGAUACCCGGGUAGUC
rnacentral:rRNA from 1 species